UACGAAGGUGACAAGCGUUGUUCGGAAUUAUUGGGCGUAAAGCGCACGUAGGCGGGUUUGUAAGUCGAUUGUGAAAGCCCUGGGCUCAACCUGGGAAUUGCAGUCGAAACUACAAGUCUUGAGUGCUCGAGAGGAUGGUGGAAUUCCAGGAGUAGUAGUGAAAUACGUAGAUAUCUGGAGGAACACCGGAGGCGAAAGCGGCCAUCUGGCGAGACACUGACGCUAAGGUGCGAAAGCGUGGGGAUCAAACAGG
rnacentral:rRNA from 1 species